AACGCACAUUGCGCCCCCUGGUAUUCCGGGGGGCACGCCUGUUCGAGCGCCAUUUCACCUCUCAAGCCUCGCUUGGUGAUGGGCACCGCCUGUGGGCGUGCCCGAAACUCGUGGGCGCCGAAGGCCGGCUCCGAGCGUAGCAAACCCCUCGCUCGGGACCCCGGCCGGCGGCCGCCCCAGACCCCAAAAUAUUUCAAUGGUUGGCCUCGGAUCAGGCGGGGAUACCCGCUGAACUUAA
rnacentral:misc_RNA from 2 species